ensembl:lncRNA
CCCCAGAGGUUCUUCCAACCCCAGCCAGCCUGGAUUCUGUGAUACAGCUCCUACAACUCCAUUUGGAACUGCAUGGUCCCUUCCAGCACAAGUCAUUCUAUGUUUCUAUGACUAUGAACUCAGAUUAGGAGACUGUGCAAUUCCUAAAAGGUGAGGGGCUGGCACUGCAGGUGAGGAUAUGAGUGUUUCUGUACUUUCUAGGUAUCUGGUGCCAAGAGGAAGGAGAGCUUUGGAUUUUUGACCCUGAGCAUGGAGCUCUCACUGUUGGGCUGUGAGCUCUUCACAGCAUGAAGAAAGCACGAUUCACUGCUGUAACGGAGUUCUUCAGAAAAAAAAACGUGUUGUAUCCUGGGUAUUGCCUUGAAUUCUGCAGGUCAUGUCAAGGCUUCUGUAAAGUAUGUCUCAAAGCUUUAAAGAGCUCUUUUGCAACUGUCAAAGUGCUGAGAUCUGCAAGGAAUAGGGUCCCCUGAUAGAGUACAGCCAUGAAAUGAAAACAGAAGAGAAGGAAGAUAAAAGGAGCUGCAAUGCAGAACGGGGGUUACUCCAGCAAUAAGAUAAACUUCCACAACAGUGAGCAUCUCUGCUGUGACAGAGGGAACCUUCCCAGAGAGCUGGUAGGAAGGAUGAACUGAAAGAUGCUGUCUGCAGAGGAUCUUAUACCUAUCAGACCUCGGCUCCGCUCCUUGCGGCCUCUGCUGCCAUCUGCCGCCACGCUGAGACCCAGCACGGGGAGCACUUCCAUCGGCAGCCCAUUCCAAUGCCUGACCGCCCUCUCAAUGGAGAAAUUCUUCUCGACAGCCAAACUAAACCUCCCCUGGUGCAACUUGAGGCCGUAGCCUCGUAUCCUCAAGCAAGUCUGUAUCCGUCUUGCAUCGAGGGCUCCUCCUGUAUCUGAGGUACUGCCUCACCAGUGGCUCAGCAGUGUUUUCCUGUUUAAAACCUGAGGGAUGGCACUUAGGUAAAAGCUAACGUCAUCUCCCUGUUCACUGAGAGAAAGGUGGUUUUGAGAGCAGAGCGCAGCACACCUGC